rnacentral:rRNA from 1 species
CGGCCGCGUCGACGGCUGGCAGGUCCGCCUCACCGCGUGUACUUGUCCGGCCGGGCCUUUCCUUCUGGAGAACCUCAUGCCCUUCACUGGGUGUGUUGGGGAACCAGGACUUUUACUUUGAAAAAAUUAGAGUGUUCAAAGCAGGCCUUUGCUCGAAUACGUUAGCAUGGAAUAAUAGAAUAGGACGUGCGGUCCUAUUUUGUUGGUUUCUAGGACCGCCGUAAUGAUUAAUAGGGACAGUCGGGGGCAUCAGUAUUCAAUUGUCAGAGGUGAAAUUCUUGGAUUUAUUGAAGACUAACUACUGCGAAAGCAUUUGCCAAGGAUGUUUUCAUUAAUCAGUGAACGAAAGUUAGGGGAUCGAAGACGAUCAGAUACCGUCGUAGUCUUAACCGUAAACUAUGCCGACUAGGGAUCGGGCGAUGUUCUUUUUCUGACUCGCUCGGCACCUUACGAGAAAUCAAAGUUUUUGGGUUCUGGG